rnacentral:tRNA from 1 species
GAUAAAAUGGCUGAAGUAAAAUAGGCGAUAAAUUGUAAAUUUAUAGAUAAAGAUGAUCUUUUUUUAUCA